rnacentral:misc_RNA from 1 species
GUGAAUCAUCAAAUUUUUGAACGCAAAUUGCACUCUCUUCGGAGAGGAUGCCUGUUUGAGGGUCAGCCUAAAAAAAAAUAGACAUAGUCUCUGUUUCGCGAUUACAUUCGUCGGAAAUUGGGUCAUCUUAAACCUUUGUGGUUUAAGCGGCUUAAAAUUUUCUUUACGAUUCCACGAACGUUUCUAAAAUUUAUUUUUUUUAUGUUUAAGGU